rnacentral:rRNA from 1 species
GAUGAACGCUGGCGGCGUGCCUAAUACAUGCAAGUCGAGCGAACGGACGAGAAGCUUGCUUCUCUGAUGUUAGCGGCGGACGGGUGAGUAACACGUGGAUAACCUACCUAUAAGUCUGGGAUAACUUCGGGAAACCGGAGCUAAUACCGGAUAAGAUUUUGAACCGCAUGGUUCAAAAGUGAAAUACGGUCUUGCUGUCACUUAUAGAGGGAUCUGCGCUGCAUUAGCUAGUUGGUAAGGUAACGGCUUACCAAGGCAACGAUGCAUAGCCGACCUGAGAGGCUGAUCGGCCACACUGGAAGUGAGACACGGACCAGACUACUACGGGAGGCAGCAGUAGGGAAUCGUCCGCAAUGGGCGGAAGCCUGACGGAGCAACGCCGCGUGAGUGAUGAAGGUCUUCGGAUCGUAAAACUCUGUUAUUAGGGAAGAACAUAUGUGUAAGUAACUGUGCACAUCUUGACGGUACCUAAUCAGAAAGCCACGGCUAACUACGUG